UACGUAGGGUGCGAGCGUUGUCCGGAAUUAUUGGGCGUAAAGAGCUCGUAGGCGGGAUGGCAAGUCGGUCGUGAAAUCUCUCGGCUCAACCGAGAAACGUCGGCCGAUACUGCCGUUCUUGAGGGAUGCAGAGGAGACUGGAAUUCCCGGUGUAGCGGUGAAAUGUGUAGAGAUCGGGAGGAAAACCGGUGGCGAAGGCGGGUCUCUGGGCAUUUCCUGACGCUGAGGCGCGAAAGCGUGGGGAGCAAACGGG
rnacentral:rRNA from 1 species